ACCCGCACAAGCGGUGGAGCGCGUGGUUUAAUUCGAUGGUAAUCGAAGAACCUUACCAAGGUUUGACAUAUAGCUGCUAAUCCUAUGAAAGUAGGAAUCCUUCGAGGGUGCUAUACAGGUGCUGCAUGGCCGCCGUCAGCUCGUGUCGUGAGAUGUAGGGUUAAGUCCCGAAACGAGCGCAACCCUUAUCCCGUGUUAUAUUUGCCUCGGGAAACUGCCUCGGUAAAACGAGGAGGAAGGUGGGGAUGACGUCUGGUCCGCAUGGCCUUUAUGCCUUGGGCUACACACGCGCUACAAUGGUCGGUACAAAGGGCUGCCAAGCUGUAAAGCGGAGCAAAUCCCAUCAAAACCGAUCUCAGUUCGGAUUGAGGUCUGAAACUCGACCUCAUGAAGUUGGAAUCGCUAGUAAUCGUGGAUCAGCCAUGCCGCGGUGAAUACGUUCUCGGGUCUUGCACACACCGCCCGUCAUGUCAUGAAAGCUGGGGGUACCCGAAGUUAUCGUGCCCCGCUAAUUCUUUGUCUGUAACAGUAGGUAUACUGACUUCGGACACAGAAUUAGCGGGAGUGGGUAACGAAGGUAAACUUGGCAAUUGGGAUAAAGUCGUAACAAGGUA
rnacentral:rRNA from 1 species